UAUCAACACUUUACCCACAUUGUAAAUUUGCUAUACCAACACUUCCAAAAGAUUCAAUUGUUGGAUGUAAAAGAGGACAAUCUUGUCAUUUUUAUAUGUAUGCUGAGAUGUAUAAUGGAACAUGUCCAAAUAUGACUGCAAAUAAUGAAUAUACUGGUAUAUUCAAUCCAGCAAAAUCUUCAGGACUUUGUAGAUAUGAAGUCGCUUACACUAACACAUCUCUAAUCGGAAAAAAUAAGGUUUGCCUAAUGGUUUGUUCCAAAGGAGAGUCUCGAUGUUUCCAAAUGUAUACCAAUGACAUACUUGAUCAAUGCAUGCCAAAUCCUUGCUUGAAUAACGGAUACUGUCAAACUGAAUCGUCAGGGAAUCUUCGGUGCUAUUGUCCACAAGGAUUCUGGGGAAUGCUUUGCGAAAAUGG